rnacentral:lncRNA from 1 species
GUUGCUGGGGGAAUGCAGAAGCGGCCGCGGGCUAGCAAGCUCCCGGAGCCGGCGGCGCACCACCAUGACCCAGUCGGUGGUCGUACAGGUCGGCCAGUGCGGAAACCAGAUCGGCUGCUGCUUCUGGGACCUGGCACUAAGGGAGCACGCCGCGGUCAACCAGAAAGGAAUUUAUGAUGAGGCAAUAAGCAGCUUCUUUAGAAAUGUGGACACCAGAGUGGUUGGUGAUGGUGGAAGUAUUUCCAAGGGAAAAAUAUGUUCUUUAAAAGCACGAGUAAGAUACAUAUGCUUGGAUUCUUAUAUUACAUGUAUUUUUUAAAUAACUAUUCUCAGUAACUAUCAUGAGAAUAAAACUUUAAACUUUUCAAAGUAGAAAAAAAUUACUAAGCCACAUUUAAUAUAAAUAUAACUAAGCAGACAUUUGUGUCCACCUAACACAUUAGGGGGAAAAGCCCAUACUUUAAAACACUGUAGUUAGCCUGUUUUCAGGAGAAAUAGUGUCUAGAUAAAUGAUAACAAAAGGAGCAUUCUUAACUCUAAGGACCUG